rnacentral:lncRNA from 1 species
UGGGGAAGGGUCCUAAAGGGGAUGGGAUGGAUAUGGGGGGCAGUGAGGGGAUGGGGAAGGGGAAGGGUCCUCAAGAGGAUGGGGUGGGAGGAGGUUAUGGGGUGGGGAAGGGUCAGUCAAUGGUUGGGUUGGGUCCUAAAGGGGAUGGGAUGGAUAUGGGGGGCAGUGAGGGGAUGGGGAAGGGGAAGGGUCCUCAAGGGGAUGGGGUAGGAGGAGGUUAUGGGGUGGGGAAGGGUCCUCAAGGGGAUGGGGUGAGUAUGGGGGGCGAUGAGGGGAGGGGGAAGGGUGACGUCGGCCAACAGUUGGGUGAGGGGUUGGGGGUCCCCGUGGGGCCAAUUGGGGGCGAUAGUGAGGGGGGGGUUGAUGGGUUGGGGGCUGAGGGGGAUGGGAAGGGAUAUGGGGCGGGCGCCAUGUUGGGGACCAGGAAGGAUGUGGGGCCAGGUGAGGUGAGGGUGAAGGGCCUGGUGACGGCCAAGGGGUGGGGGGCUGGGAAGGGCCCCAAAGGGGGAUGGGGGGCAGAUGAGGGUCGUGGGGUGGUCAGGGAGAUGGUGAGGGGAUGGAAGGGGCAGGGGGCGGCCGAGGGGGCAACUAUGGCAACAAUGGAGGCCAAGAUGGAGGCCAAGAUGGAGGCCAAGAUGGCGCCAUCAACCAUGUCAUCACCAACUAUGGAACCAAUGGAGGCCAAGAUGGCGGCCAAGAUGGAGGCCAAGAUGGAGGCCAAUAUGGCUGCCAAUAUGGCUGCCAAGAUGGAGGCCAAGAUGGCGGACAAGACGGAGGCCAAUAUGGCUGCCAAUAUGGCUGCCAAGCCGCCCCCACCCCCCGCAUCCCCGCCAUGUUCCGCCCCGCCCCCCCCGUCCCCACAUCCUCCUCCCGCCCCCCAAGUCGGUUCCGGGUUCUGCCCCACAUCCUCCCCACCCCAUGGGGGUCCCAUAGGGGCCGUGACCAUGCGCGGGGCCCCACGGCGAGACCCCACCCCGCCCCCCCUGACCCACCCGGCCCUACAGCGGCGCAGUGGGAACACCAUCACCGUCAGACCCCGACGGGGGGCGGCCAAUGAGGGGGGGGGGGCUGCGCCCCAUAACAACGACCCCCCGGCCCCACAAGUGACCCCAAAGAAGCGCUACCCCACGGCAGAGGAGAUCCAGGUCAUUGGGGGGUACCUGGCUCUGCCCCGAUCCUGCCUGGCCAAGAACGACCCCCAUAGGAAGAAGGUGAGUCAGUGCGGACCCCCACCCCAUAUUGGGACCCCCACCCCAUAUUGUGACCCCCACCCCAUAUCUGGGACCCCCACCCCAUAUCUGGGACCCCCACCCCAUAUUGUGCCCUCCACCCCAUAGGAAGAAGGUGAGUCAAUGAGGACCCCCACCCCAUAUUGGGACCCCCACCCCAUAUUGUGGGACCCCCAUCCCAUAUUGGGACCCCCACCCCAUAUCUGGGACCCCCAACCCCAUAUUGUGGGACCCCCACCCCAUAUUGGGACCCCCACCCCAUAUUGUGGGACCCCCACCCCAUAUUGGGACCCCCCAACCCUAUAUUGUGGGACCCCCAACCCUAUAUUGUGGGACCCCCACCCCAUAUUGUGACCCCCAUCCCAUAUUGGGACCCCCACCCCAUAUUGUGGGACCCCCACCCCAUAUUGGGACCCCCACCCCAUAUUGUGGGAGCCCCACCCCAUAUUGGGACCCCCACCCCAUAUUGUGGGAGCCCCACCCCAUAUCUGGGACCCCCACCCCAUAUUGGGACCCCCACUCCAUAUUGUGGGACCCCCACCCCAUAUUGGGACCCCUACCCCAUAUCUGGGACCCCCACCCCAUAUUGUGGGACCCCCACCCCAUAUUGGGACCCCCACCCCAUAUUGGGACCCCCACCCCAGAUUGGGACCCCCACCCCAUAGAGUGGGACCCCCAACCCCAUAUUGGGACCCCCAUCCCAUAUUGUGGGACCCCCACCCCAUAUUGUGGGACCCCCACCCCAUAUUGGGACCCCCAACCCAUAUUGGGACCCCCACCCCAUAUUGUGUGACCCCCACCCCAUAUUGGGACCCCCACCCCAUAUUGGGACCCCCAACCCUAUAUUGUGUCCCCCCAACCCCAUAUUGUGGGACCCCCACCCCAUACUGGGACCCCCAACCCCAUAUUGGGACCCCCACCCCAUAUCUGGGACCCCCACCCCAUAUUGUGGGAGCCCCACCCCAUAUCUGGGACCCCCACCCCAUAGAGUGGGACCCCCAACCCCAUAUUGUGGGACCCCCACCCCAUAUUGGGACCCCCACCCCAUAUGGUGACCCCCACCCCAUAUUGGGACCCCCACCCCAUAUCUGGGACCCCCAACCCCAUA